UACGUAGGCAGCAAGCGUUGCUCGGAAUUACUGGGCGUAAAGGGUGCGUAGGCGGCUUUUUAAGUUUGGUGUGAAAUCUCCCGGCUCAACUGGGAGGGUGCGCCGAAUACUGAGGGACUAGAGUACGGGAGAGGAAAGUGGAAUUCCUGGUGUAGCGGUGAAAUGCGUAGAUAUCAGGAGGAACACCGGUGGUGUAGACGGCUUUCUGGACCGACACUGACGUGAGACACGAAAGCGUGGGUAGCAAACAGG
rnacentral:rRNA from 1 species